rnacentral:rRNA from 1 species
GAGGCAAACGGGAAAAAGGAGUGCGGGACACGGAACGGGAAGAGGAAGGUGCGCGCAGGGAGGGGGACGGGUGGGCGAGGGGAGACUCGGAGCGAAGAUGGAAGGAGAGGCAGGGAUGCUCGCCUUGGUUGGCUGAGCGGCCGUAACUUCCGCCCGCACCGCCCGCCCCCGACCUGCCCCCCUGCAUACGCCGGAGCCAAGUACGUGCCAGCAGCCACGGUAACACCUAGGGGGCGAGCGUUGUUCGGAAUUACUGGGCGUAAAGGGCAUGUAGCCGGUCUGGUAAGCCUGGCGUGAAAGUCUGCAGCUUAACUGCAGGGGUGCGAUGGGAACUGCUGGGCUUGAGUGACGGAGAGGGAGCUGGAAUUCCUGGUGUAGGGGUGAAAUCUGUAGAUAUCAGGAAGAACACCGAUGGCGAAGGCAAGCUCCUGGCCGAUGACUGACGCUGAGGUGCGAAAGUGUGGGGAUCAAACAGGAUUAGAUACCCUGGUAGUCCACACGGUAAACGAUGUGCACUAGGUGCUGGGGCGGUAGCCUCAGUGCCGGAGCGAACGUGGUAAGUGCACCGCCUGGGGAGUAUGCUCGCAAGGGUGAAACUCGAAGGAAUUGACGGGG